UCAUUUUCCUCCCAGGGGCUGCUCUGCGGCUGUGUUUUGGUUUAGUGCCAAACACGAGGUUGAUGAUACAGAGGUUUUGUUAGUGUUGAGCUUGCCCGGAGCCGAGGCAUUUGCAAGCACUCACACAGCCAUGCUGGGGAGGGAUUUGGGAGUGCGUGGGAGGUUGGGAGGAGACGUGGGAGGGACAGGUGACCCCAACAGAGCCAAUGGGAUAUCCCAGACCGUGUGACACAGCAGGAAUGGACAAAGGAGGGGACAUUGGGAAUGAUGGCGUUUCUCUUCUCGCGUCUGUCCCGUCUGCAGGAGUCCCGCUCUCCUGGAGGAGCUGAACCCCUCCCUGCCCACGGGAAGCAGGGACGGAAUUCCCGGGUUUGCUUUGCUUGCGUGCACGGCUUUUGCUUUCCCUAUUAAACUGUUUCUUUCAACCCACAAGUUUUCUAGUUCUUACCCUUCCAUUCUGUCCCCGGUCCCGAUGGGGGUGGAGGGCUGGGGGUGAUGAGCAGGCAGCUGCGAGGUGCUUGGGGCUGGCUGGGUUAAGCUUCGACAGCCCCCCAGGGCUCUGGUUUGGCUGCCGUGCCGUGACUCUUCGGUACACAACAGGACAAUUGUGUGCCUGACCCCACGCUCUGGAGCCCCCCCGGUACCGCGGCUGGGACCCCCAGCUCUGUGCCGUGCCCCCCUUGCUGUGUCUGACCGCCCGGAGGAAGAGUCGCGCUCAGCCCUCCGCCUCCAGCCCGGGCGUGCCUGGCACGGGGCGGCCCCGGGGCGAGCAUCGGGACCACUGCAGACCACCGGGCACCGCGGAGCCAUUCCACUCCACCGCGGGACCAUUCCACUCCACCUCGGGACCAUUCCACUCCACCGGGCACCGCGGAGCCAUUCCAGCCCACCGGGCACUGCAGAACCAUUCCAGCCCACCGGGCACCGUGGGGCCAUUCCAGUCCCGCGGGCACCGUGGGCAGGUGGGCAGUGCUGGUGGCAGGAGACUCUGCCAAGAUGUCCAAGAGGAAGCCAACUCCAGAGGAGGAACCCAAGGAGGAGACAAUUUCAGAUGAGGAAUCUGGGGAGGAGACGACUCCUAGUGAUGAGUCCAAGAAGAAGAUAAAUUCAGAUGAGAAAUCCUGGGAUAAGACAAAUCACAGUGACAAGCCCAAAGAUGGGGAUUGUCCUGGGGGUGGUCCUGACAAUGGUCCUGACAAUGGUCCUGGCAAUGGUCCUGAUGGUGGUCCUGACAAUGGUCCUGAUGGUGGUCCCAAUGAUGGGGAUAAUCCAGGUAAAGUGCAGGGGAAAUUUGGGUGAGACAUCAGGAAAAAAAUUCUUCACUGAAAGACUGAUUGGGCACUGGAAUUGUCUGCCCGUGGAGGUGGUUCAGUCACCAUCCCUGGAUGUGUU